rnacentral:rRNA from 1 species
CUGCGGAAGGUCAUUACCUAGAGUUUGUGGGCUUUGCCCACUGUCUCUUACCCAUGUCUUUUGAGUACUUACGUUUCCUCGGUGGGCUCGCCCGCCGGUUGGACAAUUUAAACCAUUUGCAGUUGCAAUCAGCGUCUGAAAAACAUAAUAGUUACAACUUUCAACAACGGAUCUCUUGGUUCUGGCAUCGAUGAAGAACGCAGCGAAAUGCGAUAAGUAGUGUGAAUUGCAGAAUUCAGUGAAUCAUCGAAUCUUUGAACGCACAUUGCGCCCCUUGGUAUUCCAUGGGGCAUGCCUGUUCGAGCGUCAUUUGUACCUUCAAGCUCUGCUUGGUGUUGGGUGUUUGUCUCGCCUUGCGCGUAGACUCGCCUUAAAACAAUUGGCAGCCGGCGUAUUGAUUUCGGAGCGCAGUACAUCUCGCGCUUUGCACUCAUAACGACGACGUCCAAAAGUACUUUUUACACUCUUGACCUCGGAUCAGGUAGGGAUACCCGCUGAACUUAAGCAUAUCAAUAAGCGGAGGAAAAGAAACCAACAGGGAUUGCCCUAGUAACGGCGAGUGAAGCGGCAACAGCUCAAAUUUGAAAUCUGGCGUCUUUGGCGUCCGAGUUGUAAUUUGCAGAGGGCGCUUUGGCAUUGGCAGCGGUCCAAGUUCCUUGGAACAGGACGUCACAGAGGGUGAGAAUCCCGUACGUGGUCGCUAGCCUUUACCGUGUAAAGCCCCUUCGACGAGUCGAGUUGUUUGGGAAUGCAGCUCUAAAUGGGAGGUAAAUUUCUUCUAAAGCUAA